AGAGACAGAGAAAAGAAGAGAGAAUGCAGUUUGGGGUUUCAAGAAAAUAUUGGUGGGGUUUAUAUAAGAGGAAGAAGAACGAGUGGCAU